AUUGAACGCUGGCGGCAGGCCUAACACAUGCAAGUCGAACGGUAACAGGAAGCAGCUUGCUGCUUCGCUGACGAGUGGCGGACGGGUGAGUAAUGCCUGGGAAGCUGCCUGAUGGAGGGGGAUAACUACUGGAAACGGUAGCUAAUACCGCAUAAUGUCGCAAGACCAAAGAGGGGGACCUUCGGGCCUCUUGCCAUCGGAUGUGCCCAGAUGGGAUUAGCUUGUUGGUGGGGUAACGGCUCACCAAGGCGACGAUCCCUAGCUGGUCUGAGAGGAUGACCAGCCACACUGGGACUGAGACACGGUCCAGACUCCUACGGGAGGCAGCAGUGGGGAAUAUUGCACAAAGGGCGCAAGCCUGAUGCAGCCAUGCCGCGUGUAUGAAGAAGGCCUUCGGGUUGUAAAGUACUUUCAGCGGGGAGGAAGGGAGUAAAGUUAAUACCUUUGCUCAUUGACGUUACCCGCAGAAGAAGCACCGGCUAACUCCGUG
rnacentral:rRNA from 1 species